UACGAGUGCUCCAAGCGUUAUCCGGAAUCAUUGGGCGUAAAGGGUGUGUAGGUGGUUGGGUUAGUCUUGUGUUAAAUUCUUCGGCUUAACCGGGGGACAUGCAUGGGAAACGGCACGACUCGAGGAUGCGAGAGGUGAACAGAACUCAUGGAGUAGGGGUGAAAUCCGUUGAUAUCAUGGGGAAUACCAAAUGCGAAGGCAGUUCACUGGCGCACUCCUGACACUGAAACACGAAAGCGUAGGUA
rnacentral:rRNA from 1 species